AGUGAACGCUGGCGGUAGGCCUAACACAUGCAAGUCGAACGGCAGCACAGUAAGAGCUUGCUCUUACGGGUGGCGAGUGGCGGACGGGUGAGGAAUACAUCGGAAUCUACUUUUUCGUGGGGGAUAACGUAGGGAAACUUACGCUAAUACCGCAUACGACCUACGGGUGAAAGCAGGGGAUCUUCGGACCUUGCGCGAUUGAAUGAGCCGAUGUCGGAUUAGCUAGUUGGCGGGGUAAAGGCCCACCAAGGCGACGAUCCGUAGCUGGUCUGAGAGGAUGAUCAGCCACACUGGAACUGAGACACGGUCCAGACUCCUACGGGAGGCAGCAGUGGGGAAUAUUGGACAAUGGGCGCAAGCCUGAUCCAGCCAUGCCGCGUGAGUGAAGAAGGCCUUCGGAUUGUAAAGCCCUUUUGUUGGGAAAGAAAAGCAGCAGGUUAAUACCCCGCUGUUCUGACGGUACCCAAAGAAUAAGCACCGGCUAACUUCGUG
rnacentral:rRNA from 1 species